AGAGCAAGCGAGAGAGAGAGAGAAAGUAUAAAUUAUUUAUGAGUGGAAAAACAUGAUUGAUGUGGGAUAUUUCAUUUCCCGUAAGCGUACACACACGCAUGCCAGAAGCCUUCUGGACUUCCUCUUGGCCUUCAAUGGACAAACAGGGUCUUUUUCAGAGGAAAAGUAAAACUCAAUUGCAUACAGAAACACAUUCAAACACACACACACACACACACACACACACACACACACACACACACACCUGUCCUGCUGGCCCAAGGUGCUGAGGUUUGUUUUCUGGUUGUUUUCAGGGACGGCGUCUGGGAGUAAAAUACGCACCAGGCUCAUAUUCCCUUCAGAGCUCAAAAACAACUUCCACAGAGGAUUUACUGUCAGGAUGGAAACGAUCUACCGAGCCACUGACCAGGAAACGUGUACUACAGGCCAGAAAGAGUGCGCUUCGGGUUCACCGCUGUUUUCCUGGACUUCAGGGAAUGUAGCUGAACUGAAGCCAGAAGAGAAACAGCAUGCUGACUUUAAAGUGUGAGACUUGGAAAGUUGGAGAUUCUGGUUACAAAGGGCAUGUGAAGAGAGGAGAGGAAAACAGAAUGCAAGACAUGAGAGCAUGUGCUUUCAUCCUCAGCACAGCAGGAAAGUACUCAACCAUGUCAAUCCCAGGGACAGCAGCUGCCACACACACACACACACACACACACACACACACACACACACACACACACACACAAAGAAUGUUUGCCUUACUAUCCUUGUGAGUACCUUUCACUAACAAUGAUUUCUGUAGCUAAAUAAUGCUAUACCUAAACCUAAACCUCAUUAGCCAAAAAGAAACCUUCUAGCUUUUUUUUUUUUUUUUUAACAAUAAAACCUGUAGUUUUGCAUAAAUUAAUAAAUACACAAAUAAAGCAGUUUUGUUCAUGCAGACCAGACAAAUAUCUGUCAACAUAUUUUAGGCAUGAUCAAGAUUUCUGGCUUUCUCCUCAACUAAUUAAAUAUAAUUAUAUUUAGUUAUUAUAAUUAAUAAUUAUUAUAAUUAGUUAAUUGGCUAAAUAUCAUUAGAUAUUUUUACUGGUGGAUUAAAUUACAAGCUCCACAUUCAUAUUGUAUGUGUUAAGUACAUAUGUGUUUUUUUUUACGUAUACUCUGCUGUCAUAUUUAUUACAUACAAGUCUAAUUGUGCUUAUGUUUGAUAAUAAUUGCUUAAUUGCUCAAUUAAUGACUAAGAAACAAUCACAUUUUAUUUAAAACAGUGGUUGUCACUGAGAAGUGGGAUCCAGAGACCCCCAGAAUUCAGUAAAGCAUAUAGUAUUAGCUUGUUUGACUGAUAACUGAACUGAAUGGGUUUAAUAACAAGGAGGCCCAAAUAUGUUCAUAAAAUGUUUUGUCAGAGGGGGAAAAAAAAUAAUCCAAUAAAAACUCUAUAAAUCUAUUAAAUAGCACAAAUAUAAUUGCACACAUUGAAAUAAGGAGUAAAAUAUUUGAAUACUUGAACUCUGUACUGAUGGGUUCUAUAAUUUAUUUUAGAAUUAUUUUAGUUAUAUAAUUUAUUUUACAGUUAAAGCGUCCCAGGUCCCUGUCUACAAAAUAGAACUCCUGAUUCAAAGGACUGAAGUAAUGUAGGUUUAUCCUGCACAAUGUGAAAAUAUACAACAAUUUCAAUAACAAUUAUCAUGCAGCCCUACGCAGUCAAGUGUCAAUCAAGCUUGAAAUAUUAACCGUGACUGAGAACAUUCAGUCCGAGUCAGACCUGAUCCACUGCAUUAAAAAUCAAAUCCAAAUCAGAUUAGAUCUGAACUGAAUUUUGUCUGAAAUCCCGAUCUGAACCGAACGCCACGGCUGCUUUACCUCAGUUGCACCCAUUCUCUCGCACACGUGCUGUAAAGCAGCCGACAGUGCCAACAACUCGAGUGACUCCAGCAUGCCAGGUAAAAAAAAAAUAUGCAAAAGGUAAUAAAAGUAGGCAGGAAAACCAAAGUAGAGGGAAAAAAUAAAGUAGGUGGGAUUGCAGGCCAAAAACCUUGGAAUGGGAGAAAGUCCAACAAAUUUUUGAGAAUGAUAUCCGAAUCCAACCAGACUAACUGGAUGUGGACAGCCAUCUCAAUCUCCAACACACAGACAUCCCAGCGACCUCGACACACCUUUCCAAUCUAAUAAUCAUGGCCUUGUAAAAGUGGAUUAAGUAUGACCUUCCAGGGAAAACACUGAACAUUCUGUCCUUAUAAAAGUGUAUUUUACUGUAAAGAGAAAAUGGGCUGUCUGAGCCUUCAAACUUAGUCCUGGUUAAAAUAGUUUAUGGACAUACACUCCUACAUUACACAAAUAUAAUCAUCACUGUGGUUCAAAGCAGAGAAGGUUUUAAUACUAUUCUUGAAUGAAAUAGCUCGCUGAAUCAAACCUAACCUUAAUUUUCAUUAUAUAAAUGGGUGAAAGGUGACAUAUUAAAGGAAAAAAAAUCAACAUAAAGUAUGCUAGUAAGGUGCUGUAUCUUCACGAGCCACCAGAACAGCUUCAGCGAGCCAUAGCACAGAUUCUACACGUCUCUGAAACUGUACUGGCGCAACAGAGCACCAAAAGAU